rnacentral:lncRNA from 1 species
GACAAAUUAUAGAUCAAGUUGGAAUUCUGUUCCAUUCUGAUGAUUUAGUUCCAAGUUAUGGUCCAUAAAAAAAUCCAUAGAGUACUAUUUUAAACCAUAUUUCUAUACAAAGAGAGGUAACUCAUUUUUUUUAAAGAAAUUCUUUAGUAAAUUGUUCGAAAAAUUUGUGCCAGUUUGUUUGUUUGUUAUUUUGUAUUAACUAAUUUUCUGAAUGCUAAAUAUAUAUAUAUAAAAUAUUACUAAGUGAAAUCCUUUAAUUAGAUAAUAAUCUAUUUUUAUUAAGUUAUAUAUUUCAUUCUAAUGCAAUUUGUGUGUAACAAUUUUUUUCAUUGGCUAAAAGUUGCCGUCAAAUCCACAAUUAACCAGGCGUAACUAAGGAUGGACCCGCCAUUUUGAAUUGUUGAAUCAACAAAUGUUCGAUUACUACUAUAUAAUCGAAAAUAAAACAACACCUACCUCGAAUUCGACGUUUUAGUGUAAUUUUAUCCGAAUUUGAAUCGUACAGGUAACGUAAUUAUCUCCAGUUUGUAAGUUUUCAUUUGUAUGACGUCACGUUUAACCAUUCAUGAAGUUUCGCGGACUUUUUUUUAGUCAAAUUUAGACCUUUUUUCAAGUUUUAUCGUAUUAUUUCUUUUUGUAAUGCAUUAGAAUCGGAAUAACAUUUCUGUAGUUGAAGAGUUGCCACCGUCAAUUUUGAUUUGACGUUUGCAAAUCUCCGUUUUACUUUCUCUGCUACGCGUCGCCAGUAAAACUGCAUUUGCGACCGUCAAAUCUACAAUUGACGGUGGCAACUCUUCAACUACAGUACUGUUAUUCCUUAAUUACAUUACAUUACAUGUAUGUAGAUAACAGUUGUUGACACUUUAUAGAUAAGUUACAAAUCUAUAUUAGUUUGGG